rnacentral:rRNA from 1 species
GACGAACGCUGGCGGCGUGCCUAAUACAUGCAAGUAGAACGCUUAAGAGAGGAGCUUGCUCUUCUUGGAUGAGUUGCGAACGGGUGAGUAACGCGUAGGUAACCUGCCUUGUAGCGGGGGAUAACUAUUGGAAACGAUAGCUAAUACCGCAUAACAAUGGAUGACACAUGUCAUUUAUUUGAAAGGGGCAAUUGCUCCACUACAAGAUGGACCUGCGUUGUAUUAGCUAGUAGGUGAGGUAAUGGCUCACCUAGGCGACGAUACAUAGCCGACCUGAGCGGGUGAUCGGCCACACUGGGACUGAGACACGGCCCAGACUCCUACGGGAGGCAGCAGUAGGGAAUCUUCGGCAAUGGGGGCAGCCCUGACCGAGCAACGCCGCGUGAGUGAAGAAGGUUUUCGGAUCGUAAAGCUCUGUUGUAAGUCAAGAACGGGUGUGAGAGUGGAAAGUUCACACUGUGACGGUAGCUUACCAGAAAGGGACGGCUAACUACGUG